rnacentral:rRNA from 1 species
CGUGUAGGCGGCUUGACAAGUCAGAUGUGAAAUCCCUGGGCUUAACCCAGGAAGUGCAUUUGAAACUGUUUGGCUGGAGUAAGGGAGAGGAAAGUGGGAAUUCCUGGUGUAGAGGUGAAAUUCGUAGAUAUCAGGAGGAACACCGGUGGCGAAGGCGACUUUCUGGCCCUAUACUGACGCUGAGACGCGAAAGCGUGGGUAGCAAACA